rnacentral:rRNA from 1 species
CGGUGGAGCAUGUGGUUAAUUCGAAGCAACGCGAAGAACUUACCAGGUCUUGACAUCCCGAUGCUAUUCUAGAGAUAGAAAGUUACUUCGGUACAUCGGUGACAGGUGGUGCAUGGUUGUCGUCAGCUCGUGUCGUGAGAUGUUGGGUUAAGUCCCGCAACGAGCGCAACCCCUAUUGUUAGUUGCCAUCAUUCAGUUGGGCACUCUAGCGAGACUGCCGGUAAUAAACCGGAGGAAGUGGGGAUGACGUCAAAUCAUCAUGCCCCUUAUGACCUGGGCUACACACGUGCUACAAUGGUUGGUACAACGAGUUGCGAGUCGGUGACGGCGAGCUAAUCUCUUAAAGCCAAUCUCAGUUCGGAUUGUAGGCUGCAACUCGCCUACAUGAAGUCGGAAUCGCUAGUAAUCGCGGAUCAGCACGCCGCGGUGAAUACGUUCCCGGGCCUU